rnacentral:rRNA from 1 species
UGGCGGACGGGUGAGUAAUGCCUGGGAAACUGCCUGAUGGAGGGGGAUAACUACUGGAAACGGUAGCUAAUACCGCAUAACGUCGCAAGACCAAAGAGGGGGACCUUCGGGCCUCUUGCCAUCGGAUGUGCCCAGAUGGGAUUAGCUAGUAGGUGGGGUAACGGCUCACCUAGGCGACGAUCCCUAGCUGGUCUGAGAGGAUGACCAGCCACACUGGAACUGAGACACGGUCCAG